UACAGAGGGGGCAAGCGUUGUUCGGAAUUACUGGGCGUAAAGGGCGCGUAGGCGGCCUGUUAAGUCGAACGUGAAAUCCUCCGGCUCAACCGGGGAAGUGCCUUGAAUACUGGCGGUCUGGAGGGAGGUAGGGGCGUGCGGAACUAACGGUGGAGCGGUGAAAUGCGUUGAUAUCGUUAGGAACUCCGGUGGCGAAGGCGGCACGCUAGACCUCUUCUUACGCUGAGGCACGAAAGCCAGGGGAGCGAACGGG
rnacentral:rRNA from 1 species